rnacentral:rRNA from 1 species
AUUGUCCUUCAGUUAGGCUGGCCCCAGAACAGGUGCUGCAUGGCUGUCGUCAGCUCGUGUCGUGAGAUGUUGGGUUAAGUCCCGCAACGAGCGCAACCCUCGCCCUUAGUUGCCAGCAUUUAGUUGGGCACUCUAAGGGGACUGCCGGUGAUAAGCCGAGAGGAAGGUGGGGAUGACGUCAAGUCCUCAUGGCCCUUACGGGCUGGGCUACACACGUGCUACAAUGGUGGUGACAGUGGGCAGCGAGACAGCGAUGUCGAGCUAAUCUCCAAAAGCCAUCUCAGUUCGGAUUGCACUCUGCAACUCGAGUGCAUGAAGUUGGAAUCGCUAGUAAUCGCAGAUCAGCAUG